rnacentral:lncRNA from 1 species
CCCCGUGCGUAUAAAAGUGUGUGGCAGGGGCAGGGGCAAGUUGAAGCUGGCUGGAUAUGCUGGCGUAGUGUGACCCAGCCGAUCAGACCGAGACUGAGCCGCUGGCUGCUGUCCGGUGGUGCUUGGUGGUGUCCAUCCACCCGUGCAUUCGUCCCUUCAGGCAGAAAUUUAGAUAGAUAGACAUUUAGAUAGGUAGAGACAGACAGAGACAGACAGACAGAAUUAAUCUUUGUUCUAAUAGCAGAACAAACUGUUUCCCGUGCUGCCCAGCGUUCCCUGCCCCGCAACAUGAUGUUCCCUCGCAGAAAGCCAAGUUGGACGCGCACCCGUUGUUUGAACGAGUGAGUGAGGAGGAGCUGGAGAGCGACCCUGCUGCGGGGCUGCUGGCCACGAGCAGUGAGGAGGGCCAGAAGGUGG